ensembl:lncRNA
UCCCAGUCCACCAAGUCUACCUCAGACAAAGGCAGGAACCAGCAUCCAGCUACUACCGAGUCCUACAUCCACUCAGAGAGAAACAGGGAGCUUCCCAGUGAUUUGGACCAAAACCAUAACUCUACCACACUGCCUCAGGAACCACAAUAUGACCGAAGUAAGCUAAUGCAUUCUUCAUAUGGAGCAGUAAAACUGCAAAAAUUCCAAAUGGAAACAGAGCAGAAUGCUGGGAAAAGGAUGUCAACCGAGGUGCCGAAAGGUAUGGUGAGGGUGCUACCUUCUUGUAGGCAGCUAGUCCGCCCUCUUUCUACUGAAAAACGACUAACCUCAGGAUACCCCAGCAUAGACACCCAGGCAGACCAGCAACAAUCCCACUCCUCAGAGACAGGUCAGAGCCAUCCCCAAGUGCUGCCUACUACAGAAGUCAACAGCAAUCCCAAUGCAGACUCACAGACACCUCCCAACCAGGCUUUUACACGAGAAGCCCAACGCUUGAAGAGGCAAAGUUCAGCAGAUCGUGCUGCAAGUCCCUCCAGCCUAGAAAGGAAGACUCACUUCAGCAGGCGAGCCUACAGCAGUCCGACUAGACCUUCGACACCUCCAUCCCCCAAGACCACAAAAUCUCCCCAAAGACAGCCUCCUUCCUCACCCAUCAAGACUUUACCUUCUCGAUGUCCUCAGUUGGGUUAUGCUGGCUAUAGCUCAGGCUUAAGAGCCCCAGUUAAAACCACAGUCAACACAAGCAUCCAUAAAACUCCUCCACAGCAGACAUUAAUGGAGACCUCCCCUCCAAGUAAGUGCCUGCCAAAACCUAAAAGUGUCCGGCCCAAAAUCAUUACAUACAUUCGGAAGACUCCCCAGGCGAAACCCCAGUCUUUUGAAGGAACAUACGACGUGCCAUCCUUACCUACGAGACUCUCAACAUACAGCAGCACACAGGCCAAACCAGCGGUCGGAGAUCAAGGGGAAGCCACUGUGCUAAGUGCCUCAAAUUUACUCUAUGAUAAGUAUCGUCAAGAGAUGCAGAAGGUCCGGUUCUUCUCACCUGGACUCAUGGUGUCUGGGAUUAAGCCACCCAGCAACACCAUGCCCCAUAAAAUGACAGGCAGAGCAGACAGCUUCUAUGGGUCUCUCAGCAAGCCUCUGUCUGCAGCGGUAAGGAAUGCUCUAGACAAUUUGCUGUUCUCUGUUUAAAUGCUUUUAUGUCUUUUUCUUGGUAAACCUAAUUACAUGUAAACUCUAUUACAUGAUUAU